rnacentral:rRNA from 1 species
CAGCAGCCACGGUAAUACGUAGGUGGCAAGCGUUAUCCGGAAUUAUUGGGCGUAAAGCGCGCGUAGGCGGUUUCUUAAGUCUGAUGUGAAAGCCCACGGCUCAACCGUGGAGGGUCAUUGGAAACUGGGAAACUUGAGUGCAGAAGAGGAAAGUGGAAUUCCAUGUGUAGCGGUGAAAUGCGCAGAGAUAUGGAGGAACACCAGUGGCGAAGGCGACUUUCUGGUCUGUAACUGACGCUGAUGUGCGAAAGCGUGGGGAUUAAACAGGAUUAGAUACCCGGGUAGUCCCUGUCUCUUAUAC